rnacentral:rRNA from 1 species
UACGAAGGGGGCUAGCGUUGCUCGGAAUCACUGGGCGUAAAGGGUGCGUAGGCGGGUCUUUAAGUCAGGGGUGAAAUCCUGGAGCUCAACUCCAGAACUGCCUUUGAUACUGAAGAUCUUGAGUUCGGGAGAGGUGAGUGGAACUGCGAGUGUAGAGGUGAAAUUCGUAGAUAUUCGCAAGAACACCAGUGGCGAAGGCGGCUCACUGGCCCCGAUACUGAC